rnacentral:misc_RNA from 1 species
AAUCCAGCACAACACAGAACAGGACCCAGCAUAUCCAUCUGGGAUUUAUAAACCAUUAAAACUCUUAACCUACAAUCCUGUUCAAGCUAUCAAAAUCCAGAAACCAACAUAAGCAUUCUAAGGUUAAAUGCUACAGGAAUCGAAGUCUUCCACCGACAAUACAUAAUUCUUGGAAGUCGCCGUCAGAUGCAGAGCUAGAUACCAUCUUAAGUUUGACAGCUUGGACCCAUUGCUAGCCUUGUUGCUACUCACUAUUGUUGAAUAAAGGGCAAGAUAUCUGGUGCAGGUUACCGGCAAUAUAUUGCCUGAUCAAUAUGUGGAGGAAUUUGCUUAAUUUCAGUCCCAAG